UCUUCCACCAUAUUUCCCUCGUGUUCAGCACACUGAAAGGGUAAACAAAACAUCAACAUGGCUGAUCCAGAAGGAAAAGCAGCUGAGGCUGUAGAAGAAGUUGAAGAUGUUGAAGAAGUUGAAGAGGAAGAAGGUGGAGAUGCUGUAAAUAACUCUCCCCCAGGACUGGUAGGUCUGUUGAAGAGUCCACAGGUUCUAGCGGCUGUACAGGAGAGGUUGGAUUAUCUUCAGGGUGCUCCUUCAGGUUACAUACAAAGUUUACCCAAAUCAGUCAAACGUAGAAUCAAAGCCUUGAAGAAACUGCAGUUCGAAGCAGCCAAGAUAGAGGCAGAAUUCUACAAAGAGGUGCAUGACCUGGAGUGCAAAUAUGCAUCGUUAUACACGCCUCUCUUUGACAAGAGGAAAGAAGUGGUGACGGCAGCAAAGGAACCAACAGAUGAAGAAUGUGACUGGCCCAGUGAUGACGAAAAGGAAGAGAAAGAUGAUGUAAAAUUAGCUGACGAUGUUAAGAACAAAGUCAAAAUUGAUGAUGCUGAAAAGGCAGAGGGGAAGACAGACAAUGAAGGUGCGGAUGUCAAAGGAAUUCCUGGUUUCUGGUUAACUGUGUUCAAGAAUGUGGAAAUGCUUUCCGAGAUGAUUCAGGAUCAUGAUGAACCUAUACUUAACUGUCUACAGGAUGUAAAAGUUAAGUUUUCUGAAGUAGAAUCAACUAUGGGGUUUGUUCUGGAAUUUUAUUUUGAAACAAAUGACUUUUUCACAAACACUGUUUUAACUAAACACUAUACAAUGAAAUCAGAGCCAGAUGAAACAGACCCGUUUUCUUUCGAGGGCCCAGAGAUUGUGAAAUGUGAGGGAUGUCAAAUAGAUUGGAAAAAAGGCAAAAAUGUUACAGUAAAAACCAUAAAAAAGAAACAAAAGCACAAAGGACGUGGUACAACACGGACAGUCACGAAAACAGUACAGAAUGAUUCAUUCUUCAACUUCUUUUCACCUCCCACAGUACCAGAGGGAGAAGAAGAAGAUAUGGAUGAAGAUCUGGAGGCAUUGUUAGCAGCCGACUUUGAAAUUGGUCAUUUUAUACGAGACCGGAUAGUGCCACGGGCAGUUUUAUAUUUCACUGGGGAAGCUCUAGAGAAUGAUGAUGAUUUUGAUGAAGAAGGAGAAGAGGAGGAUGGCGAGGAAGGAGAGUAUGAUGAGGAUGCAGAUCCUGAUUACAAUCCACAGGUAAAUUGAUGUGACCUCUCUUGUGUCAUAUGCACAUGCUUCCGUGCAUGUGCAUUACAUACACACAGGCUGAUUCUCAAAAACCAGAAGAGUGCAAACAACAGUGAUUUUUAUAUCUGUGAAAGAAAAAAAAACAAAUGAUAUCCUGGAGUCUUGAUCGAAAUUUUCUGGAAAUAGUGAUGACAAAAAAAAAAAAGAACAAAGGAAAAUGACUAAACGAAAAAAGAAACUCUUCUGUGAUGCAAGAUAGUGUUGGCUAUGAAGAACUGGUUAUUACCUUUGCUAGUGCUGAAUGACCUUCACCCGUGUUUAAUUUGACCUUGGCUUAUAGUGUGUUUUGGCUGGUGUACCAGCUGUUUCUGCUGUUGUGAAUACCGCCUCCAUGGCCCACCUUGCCUCACAUGAUAGCCUGUACUUGUCUCUCCAUAGCUCUUUAUUUAAUCUUUUUUUUUACCCAAUUUUCUUAUUACCAGAUGGCAGUACGGAAAUCGAUUAGCAUUUCAUUCUGUAUUUAGUUGAAUUUAUCGGUUUAUGAACACGUUGCAGCAAAUAUGUUUGAAAAAAUUGGUAGUGAAUUCCUACAAAUGUGAAGACAAUUUAGGAUGUUUUGAAAAGGAUUACGGGAAGGUUGCAUAAUUGAUCACAUAAACCUCCUGAUGUGAUACAGUAUUUGUUUGUUUGUGUUAAAAUAGUUGCAAUAUAGCAGGACGUUAGGCAUUGGGAACAUCAGACUUUACAACUGGUUUAUUGGUGUAUAGAUCUUAUCAUAAUGUAUUUUCUUACAUAACUCAUACAAGUUGAGAAAAAGAAUGUUUCAUGCAGUUACUGUGCGUAAAACAUUGAUUUAUUUUUGUGAAGAUUUUGUUGUAUUGUUUGGUGUAAUCACGGAUUUGUGCCCAGUUCUGUGUGUCUGUGUGAUGACAUGUACUUUGGAAUGAAAGACUAGAUGCACAUUCUUAAUUGCUGUUUGAUAUUUAGAAGAAACAGAUCUUAAAUUCUUAAAUUUUAUUGUAACAAGUCUUAUUUCACUCAUGUCAAUAUAGUAAAUAUGUCCACUACCAUUGAAGUAUAUGGGACAUUCCAAAAUUAAGUGCUUAGGAAAGGUUGGAGGUAAUUUUUCUGAACACUUAGAGGUAUUAACUAAGAAAACUACCAGUAAGCGAGAGAGAGAAAAGAAAUACUCAGUUAGAUCUAUAUAAUAAAUUAAUACCGUUUUUUUGUUUGUAAGAUCUCUGAUAUUGAAGAUACCAUGUUUAUCAAAAACAGAAAAUUACUUUCAUGCACAAAAUUUUUGUCUUUCGUUGUGAAAAUAUUUUCAUGGUUCUAGCAUUUUGGAACACGAUUAAGGGAAACAGAAAAAUUUCUUGCCUUUGAUAUAUAAGUAAUUAUGGAAUAAGCCCUUAUUUGUUAAUGUGUUUGUGCUCUUACUUUGGUCUGUUUCAUGUAUAGUGAUGUACUUUAUGUUAAACAUUACAGUAAUCAUGUUUAUAUGAAACAUUGCGGUAAUUGCAUGAUGUACUUUAUAUGAAAUUUUUCAGUAAUUGUGUGGUCUCUGAUGCCACGUAACUUCAAAAACACUUCAGUUAUUACUUGUCAUUUUAUAUAUUUUCAAGAAUUAUUGCUUUCAAACGUAUCUACACAUGGAACUUUUUAGUUCUAGAGAAAUGUUGUGGUCCAUUUGCAGUUUGCCUUACCUGUUUGACUUUGUGUUCCACUACUGGCUCUUGACAUAUCUUUCCUGUAUAUAUAUUCAUUGAUCAUAACACUGUGGUUAAAUUGCAGAUCAGUAUGGAAGUCAUACAUCAAAAACGAGUGUAAAAGUCGAUACUCCAAAAUCAUGCAGAAUAUUUUAAAGAUAAUAUGCAAGAUUUCUGCUUUGCUGCAAUUCAUUAUGUCUUUAAGUAAUUCAUUUUAUACAAAGAUGAUCAUGAGAACAAAAAAAAAAGUCAUAUUUUGUUUAAAAUCGUUCAUCUGCUCAGUAUUCAACAUACUGUAGAUUUCUACAGUGUUUUACCAGUACAGCUGAUCCUAGUCUAAGACCAGGUGAUGACCUCCCGUUUGGUUGUAAAAGUAAGAUAUCUGUCUGAAGAGGAAAGUCAUUCUUUGGUUAUAGGAUCGGAACAUUUAAUUUGUCAUUUAAAAAUCUAGGAUGCAUUUGGAUUUUUUGUUUGUUUUUUUAAAAAGUGCUUCAUUAGAUCUGAUUGUUCUUAGUUCUUGGUUCUUUUUUGUGUAUCAGAAUUCAGUAACUAUCACUUUCAGAUCAUUUUAAUUAGGUGCAUGUACAUGGAAAAUAGAAGUGAUUGGUGGAUAAUUCUCAUGGCUAGUCAUAACUCUCUAGAAAAUAAGGAUUUAAUCCAACAGCAGUUUUCUCGUCAGCUGAACAAUCGUGUUUUGUGAUAUUUUUGCGUGGUGAAUUAGAGUAGAGAGAACUACAACUGGAAACUGGGACCAGCAAACUUGUACUGUGUUUAGAGAAUCAAAACUUCACAAAAAGAAGAUACACAGUGUAUUCAAAAUGGUUAACAGUUCCACAAGUUUGCUACCUGUUCUGUACGACAUUGAAAAUAUUAAUCCACUGCAGUGUAAAGUCAGAGAUCGGUGAUCUUUCAUGGUGUAAAAUUCUCCUAGUUCGGUCACUGCAAAAGAACUGGAAGCAGAUCCCUAGGACUGUUAUGCUAACAGGAAUUACUUAUAAGGGAUUGCCAUCCUUUAACUUCAGUAUGUACAUCAGCUGUUAAAACCUUUUUUUGUUUUGUGGUUUCUUUAAGCUAAAUGGUGAUCACUUUCUAGGCAAUGUUGCAUAAACAAGUGGAUACAAAAUGGGCUGAUGUUUUCAUUUUUAUAAAUGGAAUGAUAAAGAUUUCUCCAUCUUCAAGAAUGUUUUGUCAUAGUUUGGUACUUUCCACAUCUUGAAGCUUCUUUCGAUCAUGAUAAUUAUUGAUACUUUGGUUAUUCCUGUUUUUUUUUUUUAUUUGUAAUUAACUGUUAUCAAGGAAAUGAAAUAUAGCUUGCAGUUGUGAGAUCUGUAUCAAGCUUCUAUUUGAAGUAUUAAGAAAUGAGAAGUAAAGAAGAUAUAUGAAUGUUUCUGUAUUUAAAACCUUCAUGUCCUCAUCUUGUUGGUAUGAGGUUCAAAACAAAUUAAAAAGAAACAAAUCAAAACAAUAAACGAAACCAAAAAGAUCCAAGGAUCAUAUUGGCUGUGUAGUAAAAUUUUGUAGGCAUGUAAUCUGAGAACUGUUUUAUGGAGAAAGCAUUUAGGUACUGGUAUUCGCCUGAUCUCUGUUUAUGCAUCCACGUGCCUGAAGUUUGCUUUUAAGUACACAGAGUUUGUCUAACGUAACAUCAACCAUGUAAAAUGUCUUCAUUUAUACAUUAUCCACGGGAAAAAAUGUCAACAGUUAAUGACAAUUGAUUUUUUUUUCUCUCAUUUUUUACAUCCUUGUUAUGAUGAAAUGUAAUUCAAACAAUGGUACUUUUUGUAUAUAUUCAAAUGUAAUGUAUUGGUUUUGUUCAGUUUGUUCAUUCUCAUAAUAGUGUUUUUUUUUGUACGUGAGAUAUAUUUAUCGUGCUAAUUUAAUCAUCAGGGAUUUGUAAUCGACCGUCUUGUCACAGACACCUCCUGUCGUUACAUUUAGUAUGUCGUAAUGGCAAUAGUCAUUGAGUAGAAGCCCUGUGUUGAUAGAGAUCAAAAAAAGGAGAGAAAGAUUUUUGUUGAGAAAGAUCUCUUCUACCUUAAUGAAUUGGCUUGUAGUUUGGAUUGAAGUGCGAAAAGAAAAGAUAAAGUGAUCCAUUCCUUAAUCAUAUAUAUAUGAUAAAUAAUUCUGAAACACACUGACUAACAGCAAUGCUGUUCUGUGUAAAUUAGUAUUUUAUAAUUAUGCCUUUUUAGAAAAAAUGAUCGGAGCAGUAUCUUGUAAGGAAGACAUUAUGAUGCACAACCUCAUGAACUUUUGCUAUCACAACAGUGUAUUGUCUUUACUUGGUAAUGUUCCUGAAGUGUUAUACAUAGGGUAUGGUGAGCAGUCAGGGGGCACUAUAUAUGUAAUAUUGCUGAAGAGCAAUAAAGUCAAUGAAAUGCUUGUUUUAAAUCAGUGUUCAAAUAUAGCAUGUUAUCUACACUGGAAUCUUGUUGUGUUGCUUAGUAAUGUACAUCAGGCAGUUAUCAUUUGGAUGAUGACAAGUUAUGUUUACAGCUAUUUAAUAUUUUGAAAAAAAUAAAUAAGUUGUUUACUGAAUUUGAUAUUUGGGAAAGGAUGAUCAAGGUACAAUGUUAAAAAUUGUAUCACGAAAAGUUUCUGGCCAUUAUUAUUAAAAUAUCAAAACACUC